rnacentral:rRNA from 1 species
AGCGAACGCUGGCGGCAGGCCUAACACAUGCAAGUCGAACGAACCUUUCGGGGUUAGUGGCGGACGGGUGAGUAACACGUGGGAACGUGCCUUUAGGUUCGGAAUAACUCAGGGAAACUUGUGCUAAUACCGAAUGUGCCCUUCGGGGGAAAGAUUUAUCGCCUUUAGAGCGGCCCGCGUCUGAUUAGCUAGUUGGUUGAAGUAAUGGCUCACCAAGGCGACGAUCAGUAGCUGGUCUGAGAGGAUGAUCAGCCACAUUGGGACUGAGACACGGCCCAAACUCCUACGGGAGGCAGCAGUGGGGAAUCUUGCGCAAUGGGCGAAAGCCUGACGCAGCCAUGCCGCGUGAAUGAUGAAGGUCUUAGGAUUGUAAAAUUCUUUCACCGGGGACGAUAAUGACGGUACCCGGAGAAGAAGCCCCGGCUAACUUCGUG